CGAGGGUCUUGGAGCCUCGUCUAGUUGUGAACCUCGAGGGUCUUGGGGCCUCGUCUAGUUGUGAACCUCGAGGGUCUUGGGGCCUUGUCUCGUUGUGAACCUCGAGGGUCUUGGAGCUUCAUCUUAUUGUGAACCUCAAGAGUCUUGGAGCCUCGUCUAGUUGUGAACCUUGAGGGUCUUGGGGCCUUGUCUCGUUGUGAACCUCGAGGGUCUUGGGGCCUCGUCUAGUUGUGAACCUCGAGGGUCUUGGGGCCUCGUCUAGUUGUGAACCUCAAGGGUCUUGGGGCCUCGUCUUGUUGUGAACCUUGAGGGUCUUGGAUCCUUGUCUAGUUGUGAACCUCUAGGGCUCUAGGCCCCCCUUCUGUCCUCCUCUAUCUCCUCAGCUGUCCUCCCUUACGACACUCACCAUUUCUCUUGUUUGCUUGAAGCCAGAGACUAUCCUCAUGCUGAUUCUACCUCUGGGCCUGGACCAUAACACAGCGCCUAAGACGUAGAUGUUGCAUCCACUUAAAACUCCCAGAAUUCAAUUGUACUCAACAUUUCUAUUGUGAUGCACCUCACAGACUAGGACUGAACAGACUAUAGUCAGGUCAAGGCCAGAGUCAAUCCCCAAGGGUUUAUGGAGCACCUGCUUUGAGACUGGGGAUGACUCAGGUACGGGAGAGCAGGCCACAUGGCAAGCUAAGAAUUCUCACCAACACGUGUGCUCUUCCGCUCUCCUGGUUUCACCCCUUUUCUGGGGUCCCAACAAGGCCCUACACACCUUCCCUCCCACCGCCCCUAUGGCCAGAGGUGGUCUCUUUUUCUGGGGUUCCCCUGGGGGUGUCUCACCACAGUGAAAUAUUCUCUUUUCUUGUUUACCUAGCUCUUUCCUGUGCUUGUCUCAGUUCCCUGCUCAUCGCAUCUCAAGCCAGUUAAGUAUGUUGAUGCACAGGUGAACGGCUAUCUGCCCACCUUUGGCAUGGCUGUCCCACACCAGAGAGGUAGGAGUGAGGAGGAUGAAAGUUUUCUUAAACUGCUUUCAGGUGGAAUUUUGCCUUGAUGGACUGGGCUGCCAGAUUUAGGCUUGACAACAUAAGGAAAAAUUCAUAGCCUAUGUCCUGACGCAAAACAAAAUUUAAUCAAUGUUUAUUUCCUUCCUUCCUUGGAAGAAGUCGUCUAGUCUGUCUUAGAGACUGUCCAUUCUUACAUAUGUGGGGAGCCUGUACCCGAAAUUAGGGGAGUCAGAGCUCUGCUCAGGGACAUUUCCACCUUUCCAAAGAACCGUUCUGAUGGUCCAACACGCAGACUUUGUGAGAUAAUAGAAUCUGGGGACUAACAGGGCCCUUAGAGAUAAUCUCUGCUGAUGCUAAGGCAAUUUGAUAAGCUUUAAAGUAGAUUAGUAAAUUUAAAAAUAAGCAGACAAAAAGAUGAUGGUCAUUACUGGAAGAGCCCAUCUUGGCUUCUUCUUGAGCACAGUCUCCAGGAAGCCAACUGUAGUGGUCCGCUGUGCUCCCUCUCCCAGGAAAUGAUCGACUUCCCCGGGGUUCAUCUGCUUCCAUAUGUUUGUUGCUUCAAAAACGUAGCCAUCGACUUAGGUUGAUCCUUAAAGAGACACUGAAGGUCCCUUGUGAGAUGCUACAGCUUUUAGGAUUAGGAUGACUUCCUCCAGAAGUGACGGGGCAUCUCAACAUGGGUGUCCGAGGAGGAAGUGGCUUGGCCCGGGGCAAAGAGCGUGGGCUUUGGAGUCAGGCACACCUGGGUUUGAGUUCAGAGGCUGGCACUUUCCGAUUGUGGGAUGUGGCGUCAGGGAAGUCAGUAACGUACUUCUCCGAUGCCUCCCCUCCUCAUCUGCAAGACAGGAAAAUUAGUAACUCUCCCUGGAGAUUGCUGGAGACGUGAAGGUACCUUAUUACGUAUACAACAUGCCGGGCACAUAAUAAGCACCAAGUACCACUCGUUUAUAUUCCUUGUUGCCCAUUUGAACGUCACUGUGUCAAAUAGGAUCAAAAGACGUGUCGCUGAUGACCUAUGACGUCACUGAGAUUGAGAAAGGAUUCAGCAGGAGGCUCUGCUAACAUUUCAGCUGUGAUGUUCGUUCACGAUAGUCCGCAUCCAUUGGCAGAAAUAGAUUUCCUAAUAAACAUAAUAACAAAGGCGAAGGAAUGGCACUUUCCUAUUGUCUUACGCAAUUGAACCCACUUCUGUAUAACCAGACAUGCCCUGGCUUGCUGUACGAUGUUUUCUCUUUUAAUUUGCCAUCAUUUUUGGAGAACCUAUCAUGCAUUUAAUUAGGUGCUUGACAUAUAUUUUUCUCAUUUAACCCUCCUGAUGAUUCUGUAAAGGGACUGUCGUUAUUCCAAUAUUAUAGAUGAAGCUCAGUGAAACUAAGUGACUUACCCGAGAUGACAUAGGCUCAUCUGACACUCAGCCCCUUCCAGAUUUUGGAGGUUGUGUGCGUGCACACCCUGAUGAAGGUGACUGGUACUCAACAGUACUUGUUGGAUGAAUGAACCUUCCCUUUUUCUCAGACCUUACUUUUAAUCAGCUGUGUGUCUUUGUGUGAUAGUAGCAAGGUCCAUGCAAUGGAUUUGCCUCCUCAGGGCAAAGAGAUGACUUGCAUUUUUGCUGAGCUAACCAUGUGGGAUGAAGGGAAGUGUCAUGUACGUUCUUUCAUAACUCACAUGCUUUGUAUGGUCUGACCCUUGUCUACUCCAGCUUCCACACUCACUACUCUCCCAUAGGUUCCCUACAUUCUGGCUACACCGGCCUGCUUCUGGCUCUUGGCAGCAUCAUGCUUCUCCAGCCUUGGGGUCUUCCACAUGCUGCUCCACCUGCCUGAAAUGCCAAUCCCUUCCUAAAGUGUUGAACCCUAUCCAUUCUUCAAAUCUUAGCUUAAAUAGAACUUUCUCUGAGGGGGGCACUUGACCGGAUGAGCACUGGGUGUUAUUCUAUAUGUUGGCAAAUUGAACACCAAUAAAAAAUAAAUUUAUAAAAAAAAAAAUAGAACUUUCUCCAGAAGGCCUCCUUGACCCUCUGUUUCAGUUACCUAUUGUUGUGUAAGAAACCUCCUCAAAGUGCAGUGACUUAGAACAACCAUCAUU
rnacentral:lncRNA from 1 species